UUUUCAAUGAUUUUUUUCCCUAGUUCUUUUUCUUUGAUCAGAUAUUGAAGUCAGAGUGAGAGUUUUGGAUUUAAUGAAUUUCAGAAAAUUGGUUAUAUGCCUCAGGAAGGGAAUGAGGCAACUUUUCCAGAACAAGAAAAUGAUACAUCCAGGAUUUGAAACUGGCUACUCUGAAUACACUACAGUCUGCAGCUUGCUGGUCAAAGAAGGGAGCUGA
rnacentral:lncRNA from 1 species